CGGACGGGUGAGUAAUGUAUGGGGAUCUGCCUGAUGGCGGGGGAUAACUACUGGAAACGGUAGCUAAUACCGCAUAAUGUCUACGGACCAAAGCGGGGGACCUCCGGGCCUCGCGCCAUCAGAUGAACCCAUAUGGGAUUAGCUUGUAGGUAAGGUAACGGCUCACCAAGGCCACGAUGCAUAGCCGACCUGAGAGGGUGAUCGGCCACACUGGGACUGAGACACGGCCCAG
rnacentral:rRNA from 1 species